rnacentral:rRNA from 1 species
CAGUCGCCGCGGUAAUACGUAGGUCCCGAGCGUUGUCCGGAUUUAUUGGGCGUAAAGCGAGCGCAGGCGGUUAGAUAAGUCUGAAGUUGAAGGCUGUGGCUUAACCAUAGUACGCUUUGGAAACUGUUUAACUUGAGUGCAAGAGGGGAGAGUGGAAUUCCAUGUGUAGCGGUGAAAUGCGUAGAUAUGUGGAGGAACACCGGUGGCGAAAGCGGCUCUCUGGCUUGUAACUGACGCUGAGGCUCGAAAGCGUGGGGAGCAAACAGGAUUAGAUACCCCAGUAGUCCCUGUCUCUUAUACA